rnacentral:rRNA from 1 species
AGUCAGGUAACGAGCGAGAUCCCUACCACUAGUUGCUAUCAUUAUUCUCAGGAAUAGUGGGCGAAUUAGUGGGACUGCCGUUGUUAAAACGGAUUGAAAAAAGGGGCUACGGCAGGUCAGUAUGCCCCGAAACUCUGGGGCCACACGCGGGCUGCAAUGGUAGUGACAAUGAGUUCCAAACUCGAAAGAGAGUGGCAAUCUCUAAACGCUACCACAGUUAUGACUGAGGGCUGUAACUUGCCCUCACGAAUAUGGAAUCCCUAGUAACCGCGUGUCAUUACCGCGCGGUGAAUACGUCCCUGCUCCUUGCACA